UACGUAGGGUGCGAGCGUUGUCCGGAAUUAUUGGGCGUAAAGAGCUUGUAGGCGGUUUGUCGCGUCUGCUGUGAAAAUCCGGGGCUCAACCCCGGACUUGCAGUGGGUACGGGCAGACUAGAGUGUGGUAGGGGAGACUGGAAUUCCUGGCGUAGCGGUGAAAUGCGCAGAUAUCAGGAGGAACACCGAUGGCGAAGGCAGGUCUCUGGGCCACUACUGACGCUGAGAAGCGAAAGCAUGGGGAGCGAACAGGAUUAGAUA
rnacentral:rRNA from 1 species